UCGAGUGUGGCUCUGUGUGCGGUUGAGAGAAUUAAGUCUCUUUUCCUUCUCGAAUUCAAUCUGAAUGCACGUCGAGACCCCUGCACAAACCUAGUGACAAAAAUGGAAGCCAAUAAUAAAAACAACGAUUCAGGAAUCCCUGAAAUCCUCAACUCGCCGAUAUACAUAUUUUAUUAAUAGUAUUCUAAAUCGUGGACUGGCCAAUAAUGAUUACAACAUGCAACUUAAAUCUCGGGUACUGUGUACUACUAAUUUAUCGGCUUCUUACUACUGCUUUCGAUUGCUGAAUGCUGAUACUUCUGACUGCUGCACAUCCACUACUGACUUCACACGAUACCUCACGACUGCUGCUGCGUUGCCAAUCUGCAUAAAGGAGCUGCCACCAGGAUGCAACUACCUUAUCCCAUCUCACAUUUGGUCUCAUAGCUUGGACAAGCCAUAAACUCGAAAAGUUACGAGUAUUUUUCAACAGCUGCAACUUCAUUAUGUGACUGAUGAUGUACACCAGGAGGAGUAUGAGCUGCAACAGGAACAGGAGUAGGAGCCGCCGCAGAAGGCAACCAUUCACUUUUAGCGAAAAGGCGUCCUGGCGGAACUACUUGUACUCAAUCACUUGGAAAAUAUUAUGAACUCAAACGAUAAUUCCUAGGGAGCAAUACAGGAUCGACCCGAUACAGGAUCGACCCGAUCGAAUUCACUUGGUUCCAAGAUAUACAUCACUUUUGCCUAAUCACUGGUAACUGGCGGACAUUAUGUUGUCGUUUUCGAAACUUAAGCCAAGCUAAUUUUAGUUUGUAAUAUAUAUAUGAUCUUCCUUAUGCUUUAUUUCUGCAUAGUU